rnacentral:misc_RNA from 2 species
CCAAAGAUGGCGGGCCUCCGCGCCCCCGUCCCCAACCCAUUGUUGACCAAAACCCUUUUGCCUCGGGGGCAGAGCGUCCGCCGCCGCCCCCGGAGGACCAUUUAACGCUGUCUCUUUGCGUCGGAGUAUUGAUUAAAUGAAUGA